ensembl:lncRNA
CAGCGUCUAAGCAGUGCUUCUGGGGAUCAUCCUGGCACCUCUGGUGCCGUGCUGAGAAACUUAGGCAGGUGCAGCUCUCUCGGCACCCAGCCAACUUCGGCCUCGUUACUGUGGCCGCUUAGCACGUGGCUGCCCACGGCUGUAGGGCUCACUCUUCUGCCGGCAGCCAUGGCAAGCCGUCCUGGAGAGAGGUAAGUGUUCGUGUCCCAGAGACUGCAACUCCCAGCCUUGCAGUUAAGCUCAAAGCCGCCGGGGCACGGCUAGGAAAGCCCAGCUAUGCAGGGCCCUAGGGGUGGCGGCGCUCUCCUCGCCCGAUGCCCCCCGCCCCGUUCCCAAGCGGACCAAUCUUCCGAGCGGGGCAGCCAGGCUGCCGCGGGGAGAUGGCGCCAGGUAGGGAGCCCGAGGACGGGGCCGGUGUUGUUGUCGCCGCAGGGCGAGGGCAGAAGGGCACGGCACGGCACGGCUGCUCCGCGCGCCCCCGCCCCAAGGCGGGAGUGGUGGUACGCGCCUCUUCCCCGCCUCCUCCCCAGCCUUGAACGAGGCGCUGGACGCUUUUCCCGGCGGGAGGAAGCGCACGAAAUAAAAACAAGUGUGUCCGCGCUGAGGGAGGGGGAUUUCUGCAUCCCCUCACCGACCGAGCCGCUGUGCCCUGUUGCGGAGCCGGGAAAGCGAGGCUGACAACAGGUUGUCUGGAGAGUUGGCUGGUGGACAAACUGAGAUGCAUGUGCAGUGGAGAAAUGAAGGUGCUGAAACAAAAAUCC